CAGUAGCCGCGGUAAGACAGAGGAUGCAAGCGUUAUCCGGAAUGAUUGGGCGUAAAGGGCUCGCAGGCGGUUUCUUAAGUCUGAUGUGAAAGCCCCCGGCUCAACCGGGGAGGGUCAUUGGAAACUGGGAAACUUGAGUGCAGAAGAGGAGAGUGGAAUUCCACGUGAAGCGGUGAAAUGCGUAGAGAUGUGGAGGAACACCAGUGGCGAAGGCGACUCUCUGGUCUGUAACUGACGCUGAGGAGCGAAAGCGUGGGGAGCGAACAGGAUUAGAGACCCCCGUAGUCCCUGUCUCUUAUAC
rnacentral:rRNA from 1 species